UUAGAGUUUGAAUCCUGGCUCAGGAUGAACGCUGGCGGCGUGCCUAAUACAUGCAAGUCGAGCGAACAGACGAGGAGCUUGCUCCUCUGACGUUAGCGGCGGACGGGUGAGUAACACGUGGAUAACCUACCUAUAAGACUGGGAUAACUUCGGGAAACCGGAGCUAAUACCGGAUAAUAUAUUGAACCGCAUGGUUCAAUAGUGAAAGACGGUUUUGCUGUCACUUAUAGAUGGAUCCGCGCCGCAUUAGCUAGUUGGUAAGGUAACGGCUUACCAAGGCAACGAUGCGUAGCCGACCUGAGAGGGUGAUCGGCCACACUGGAACUGAGACACGGUCCAGACUCCUACGGGAGGCAGCAGUAGGGAAUCUUCCGCAAUGGGCGAAAGCCUGACGGAGCAACGCCGCGUGAGUGAUGAAGGUCUUCGGAUCGUAAAACUCUGUUAUUAGGGAAGAACAAAUGUGUAAGUAACUAUGCACGUCUUGACGGUACCUAAUCAGAAAGCCACGGCUAACUACGUGCCAGCAGCCGCGGUAAUACGUAGGUGGCAAGCGUUAUCCGGAAUUAUUGGGCGUAAAGCGCGCGUAGGCGGUUUUUUAAGUCUGAUGUGAAAGCCCACGGCUCAACCGUGGAGGGUCAUUGGAAACUGGAAAACUUGAGUGCAGAAGAGGAAAGUGGAAUUCCAUGUGUAGCGGUGAAAUGCGCAGAUGAUAUGGAGGAACACCAGUGGCGAAGGGCGACUUUCUGGUCUGUAACUGACGCUGAUGUGCGAAAAGCCGUGGGAUCAACCAGAUAACC
rnacentral:rRNA from 1 species